rnacentral:lncRNA from 1 species
GUUUACCUAAGCAAGCCUGGGCAAUGGCGGGCGCCCCUCCCCCAGCCUGGCUGCCGCCUUGCAGUUUGAUCUCAGACUGCUGUGCCAGCAAUCAGCAAGACUCCAUGGGCGUCGUAGGACCCUCUGAGCCAGGAAGUUGCGCUGUACCUGAGAGCACCGAGAUAUAACAUAAGAAGCCAUCUUGGAAUUAAAGUUGUUGAAUGGAAAUGUGGCUUCAGCCUGGCUGUGUAUCACAUCCUUCUGGUUAGGGGCAUUGCUGCAGGAAUCUGUUUAUUCUCAAUUCAAGCCAAUAUGUACUGAUUGCUCUGACCUCCUCUCGUAAACAGGCAUUCUACUGGAACGUGUAAGAUAAUUUUUGCCAUCUGUCAUUUUCUUCUUCUUGAGAAAGGAGGAGAAUUACUGAGAAACAAGAAAAUGGAGUUAAAAAUCAUUCAGAGAAGUCAUCCUGAGGGAAUUUAGCUUGAAAUUCCCGAAUUAACUUUCUUUCAGCCAAGUGCUAAGGAGUUGUCCAUAUGCUGAUGUUAAGCCUGAAAGAUCUUGGAUUACCUUUUGUUUGUAGUUGUGCAGCUGUAAUAUAAUUCUGAUCUAUUCCAUAGCUGCUAAUGACUCAACACCUGAGACCUUGAAGUAUAACAGCCAAGGUUAUUUUGCAAUGUGAGGCAAUAAAAUAAGGUAGGAUCGCUCAUAUAUGCAAAAGUACUCUGAAAUCGCAAGACUGAUAUAAAGAUAUAUGCUUCUAUCAAGUGCUUAUAACAGAAAUGAUUUCAUUGCUAUACACACAUUCACACACAUACAAUAAUAUGCAAAAUUUCUUGCAAAACUUGCAAACAAAGCAGGUAAAGACAUAAAUAAUCAGUAAUUAAGAAUUCACCGGAGAGGACAGAUGAGAGAUUAUGCUGAGUCAAGAAGCUAAAAUGCAUAUAUAAAAUUUAUGCAUGUGUGGGGUCAUUGCACCUGUGCCCUCAGUGAACCAUUCAAUCAAGAACAAACUUUCUGUUAUAAGAUGAAAAAGUCCUGGAGAUCUUAUGUACAUUAAGGUGACUGUAGUUAAUAGUAAAGCAUUGUAUACUUAAAAGUUGCUUAAAGAGUAGAUCUUAAUUGUUCUCACUAUAGAAUAAAAGGUAACUAUGAAGUGAUAGAGGCAUUAGCUUGUUACAUUUUAUAAUCCAUGCAUAUAUCAAAAUAUCACGUGUGUACCUUAAAUGUAUACAAUUUUCAUUUGUCAAUUAUACCUAAAUAAAACUGAGGAAAAUAAAAUAAAAUAAAAUGAUACUGUUUGUUUAAAAACACCACAAUUUAACAUCAAAACUACUGAUUCACAAUAGCAGGUAAAGAAUGAUUACAGUAAAAAAAGGUUAUU